rnacentral:rRNA from 1 species
GACGAACGCUGGCGGCGUGCUUAACACAUGCAAGUCGAACGGAAAGGCCCUGCUUUUGUGGGGUGCUCGAGUGGCGAACGGGUGAGUAACACGUGAGUAACCUGCCCUUGACUUUGGGAUAACUUCAGGAAACUGGGGCUAAUACCGGAUAGGAGCUCCUGCUGCAUGGUGGGGGUUGGAAAGUUUCGGCGGUUGGGGAUGGACUCGCGGCUUAUCAGCUUGUUGGUGGGGUAGUGGCUUACCAAGGCUUUGACGGGUAGCCGGCCUGAGAGGGUGACCGGCCACAUUGGGACGGAGAGACGCCCCAGACUCCUACGGGAGGGAGGAGUGGGGAAUAUAUCACAAGGGGCGGAAGCAUGAUGCAGCAAGGCCGCGUGCGGGAGGACGGCAUUCGGGUGGUAAACCGCUUUCGCCUGUGAGGAAUCGUGAGUGACGGAACUGGGGAAAGAAGCACCGGCAAACUACGU